AUUGAACGCUGGCGGCAUGCCUUACACAUGCAAGUCGAACGGCAGCACGGGAGCAAUCCUGGUGGCGAGUGGCGAACGGGUGAGUAAUACAUCGGAACGUGCCCGGUCGUGGGGGAUAACGUAGCGAAAGUUACGCUAAUACCGCAUACGAUCUAUGGAUGAAAGCGGGGGAUCGCAAGACCUCGCGCGAUUGGAGCGGCCGAUGGCAGGUUAGGUUGUUGGUGGGGUAAUGGCUUACCAAGCCUCCGAUCUGUAGCUGGUCUGAGAGGACGGUCGGCCACACUGGGACUGAGACACAGCCCAGACUCCUACGGGAGGCAGCAGUGGGGAAUUUUGGACAAUGGGCGAAAGCCUGAUCCAGCAAUGCCGCGUGCAGGACGAAGGCCUUCGGGUUGUAAACUGCUUUUGUACGGAGCGAAACGGCUCUCACUAAUACUGGGGGCUAAUGACGGUACCGUAAGAAUAAGCACCGGCUAACUACGUGCCAGCCGCCGCAGUAA
rnacentral:rRNA from 1 species